AAAUCACAGUAGCCCUAACCCAGUUCUAACUGUGACAUUCCUUCAUCAGGGCAGCAACAGAGAAAAUGUUCAUACUCCAGGAAGCCAUGCAUAGAUGAUUGUAGGUAGUCUUUGGACUAAGAAUCUUAUAUUUACUAUCCUGUCUUGUUGUUUUCUCAAUUGCUAGGUAAAAGGAGGAGGACCAGGAGCUGCAAAUAUGUACCAGCCCCUUCCACACUGAGAACUUUGGUGUAUCAUAUAUUAUUGAUAGAUGACUUAAUAAAAUUUCUCUUUGAAAACAUCAGCUGGUCCCAAACAUACAAUGAGGAAUCAAGAAAAUUCUCAGAGGGUGUUAUUGCUUGAAUAACCAGGCCCAUUCAUGGAAAUCAGACCUUCAACAUAUUCUUUUAGUAAGUAUUUAAAUGUUUUGUUUCUGACACUGUUUUCAAUACUGGAGGGACAGCAAUGAACAGGACAGUAAUCUCUGUUUUCAGGGAGCUUGUGGUGAUCACAAAGAUCAAAACUUUGAAAAAUAAACAAAGUAAUAAGAAAAUUUCA
rnacentral:lncRNA from 12 species